AGAGAGAAAAACAAGAAGGAUGGGACUCCAUAACCUAAAGCAGUAAUUGGACUAUUAACUCCAAUAUGCUAACAGACCAGAAUUUAUAAAAGUCAGCCUUCAUAAGGCAUUAACAGGGUGCCUGAAAGAAAAGAAAAAGAUGGGGAAAUCAUGCUUUUCUCUUUAAGAAAACCAGCCAAUUCCAUAAUCCAAGAUGAUCUGGAUGUGAGGAAGUGAAAUAUACUGAGAAGAACCAACACACAUCAAUGGGAGGAAAAAAAUGCCUAUUGGGUGAUCAUACCAAGUGCCAGUGGCUGGGAGGACACCAUUGUGUUGGUAUGCUGCAUAUCACCUUCUGUUUUAAGAGCCAGUUUAAAAAAGCUUUACACAGGAUGCUUUGGGAUCUACCCUGAA